UACGUAGGGUGCAAGCGUUGUCCGGAAUUAUUGGGCGUAAAGAGCUCGUAGGCGGUCUGUCGCGUCGGCUGUGAAAACUCGGGGCUCAACCUCGAGCCUGCAGUCGAUACGGGCAGACUAGAGUGCUGUAGGGGAGACUGGAAUUCCUGGUGUAGCGGUGAAAUGCGCAGAUAUCAGGAGGAACACCGGUGGCGAAGGCGGGUCUCUGGGCAGUAACUGACGCUGAGGAGCGAAAGCGUGGGGAGCGAACAGG
rnacentral:rRNA from 1 species